AUUGAACGCUGGCGGCAGGCCUAACACAUGCAAGUCGAGCGGAUGAGGAGAGCUUGCUCUCUGAUUUAGCGGCGGACGGGUGAGUAAUGCCUAGGAAUCUGCCUGGUAGUGGGGGAUAACGUUCCGAAAGGAACGCUAAUACCGCAUACGUCCUACGGGAGAAAGCAGGGGACCUUCGGGCCUUGCGCUAUCAGAUGAGCCUAGGUCGGAUUAGCUAGUUGGUGAGGUAAUGGCUCACCAAGGCGACGAUCCGUAACUGGUCUGAGAGGAUGAUCAGUCACACUGGAACUGAGACACGGUCCAGACUCCUACGGGAGGCAGCAGUGGGGAAUAUUGGACAAUGGGCGAAAGCCUGAUCCAGCCAUGCCGCGUGUGUGAAGAAGGUCUUCGGAUUGUAAAGCACUUUAAGUUGGGGGGAAGGGUUGUAGAUUAAUACUCUGCAAUUUUGACGUUACCAACAGAAUAAGCACCGGCUAACUUCGUGCCAGCCGCCGCCGUAAUAC
rnacentral:rRNA from 1 species